rnacentral:rRNA from 1 species
ACACGACUACAUUAGAUACCCGGGUAGUCCAGGGUGUAAACGCUGCGGGCUUGGUGUUGGGGGUCCUUUGAGGGCGCCCAGUGCCGGAGAGAAGUUGUUAAGCCUGCUGCUUGGGGAGUACGUCCGCAAGGAUGAAACUUAAAGGAAUUGGCGGGGAGCACCGCAACGGGAGGAGCGUGCGGUUCAAUUGGAUUCAACGCCGGACAACUCACCAGGAGCGACAGUUACAUGAAGGCCAGGCUGAUGACCUUGCCUGAUUUUCCG